UGCUUUAAGUCCUUUUUGUAAGCUUGGGAAUGUAUCCACGGAAAGGAUUUUUCAUAGACGGAAUUUCCAGAAGUGAAUCAUAACUACUGUUAGAGCAUAAGCAUGCAUGAUUGUGCUGUGUAGAUCAGUUUUGUUGAAAGUUUAGAUUGUUGUGUUUGUCAAUUAUAAUUUAAUGUUUCAGUUUUUAUAUGAAAUGUUGUAAAUGUAUACCUUUUUAAAAACUUGAAGUUCCAAUAACUUAAAGCAUUGAAAUAUAAAAUGAGGUAAAAGGUGUUUUGAAUUUAGUAAAACUGUUAUUUAAUGCUUAAAACUUAAUUGAAUUGUAUAAUUCUCAACAUUAAGUUGCAUAGAUAUGUGUUCUUAAGUUGUUGAAUUCUUAAUGCAUCCUGUGUUCAGCAAGUUUUUUUUAAUAUAUACUGUACCAUGGGUGUGUUAAGAAUAGUUAUACUUUAUAAUAAUGGAACUUCAUAUUAUUGCAAUGCAUAUUUAAAGAGUACUUGUUGAAAGCAUACCAUUCACCUAAAGUUAAAAAUUCUGGUUUAUUUAAAGCUAUAAGAAGAAUCAUUUCUGGGCUUGUGAUGUUAAUAUUGCCCCCCUACUGGGGUUAUUUGUCCUUGGGUUGAAGGGUUGGAAAUCGUGCCAAAUGGGAUAACAUUGCCGGUGGACUUCCAGGGGAGGAGUACGGGGGAGGCCUUCGUGCAGUUUGCUUCACAGGAAAUAGCUGAAAAGGCUCUAAAGAAACACAAGGAAAGAAUAGGGCACAGGUGGGGAUGGAUGGUUGGUUGGAUAUGUCACUUUUCUUAUGGUAAACAAUUAAAUCCAUAUUCUCUCUGCUUAAAAGAAGAAAUUAAUGUUUUGUAGUCCUAGGUAAUUGAUGUUUUGCCAUGAUUUCCAAACUUGUGUCAGUCCCACGUUACACGCAAACUAAAUUUUAGGUUUGAAAUUUGUCCCUAGUUAAUUGGUCUGCUUGACAAUUUUGUGAGUCUUAUUAACCCCAAUCAAUAGAGUUGAGAGACUAUGGCUUUAAAAAAUUAAUGCAAACCUGGCUUUAGCUGUAAUAACACCCACCUAGAAUAAAUUAAUAUUACCAUAAGAAAAUGUGAUACUUUCUGAUCUUGUUUUUAAAGUUGAAAUGCAACAAACUUUUUCUUGCUGUAUAUAAAUAUUCUGCAUAGUAUUAAUAAGCAUAGCUUUCAAGAAAUUGUCACAAAAGGUUUUAUUCUCUUUGCUUGUGACUAUUUUUCAUUGAAGCAUGCGCUUACCUAUGCUGAUUCUUACUAAAAGCAUAGGCUGGGGUAUUUAUUGGCGAAAGGAAAUGUGUAGUGUGGGCUGGACUGUUGGUGGAGGCUGGCUUUUUAGCCCACUUGCUAUACAUGCUGCCAAUGGAUUUAAGACUUGAAAUGUUGAAAGUUGAGUGGAAUUAUUUCCCUCCUAAAACAUUUAUUUACAGUACUCCUCUCUACCCCUAAGGUUGGGCUCUGCCUCAGAGGAGUGAGUUUUUUUUUUUUUUCUAUAAAGUUUACAUUGUCUUACUAUUUAUUGAGUGAAUUUCUGGUCAUUGCCUAUGCAAAUAUAAGAAAUCUGGCUUUAAAUAUUAGUCAGUUUCAUGGCUAUGACUAGAUUGUUUUCUUGUAUAACUAAAUACCUGUAUAAAAUGAACUAAUGUUUUCUCUCCCCUCCCUACCCCUUCCUUAUGAACAAUGCUUUAGGUAUAUUGAAAUCUUUAAGAGCAGUAGAGCUGAAGUUAGAACUCAUUAUGAUCCACCACGAAAGCUUAUGGCCAUGCAGCGGCCAGGUCCUUAUGACAGACCUGGGGCUGGUAGAGGGUAUAACAGCAUUGGCAGAGGAGCUGGCUUUGAGAGGAUGAGGCGUGGUGCUUAUGGUGGAGGCUAUGGAGGCUAUGAUGAUUACAAUGGCUAUAAUGAUGGCUAUGGAUUUGGGUCAGAUAGAUUUGGAAGAGACCUCAAUUACUGUUUUUCAGGAAUGUCUGAUCACAGAUACGGGGAUGGUGGCUCUACUUUCCAGAGCACAACAGGACACUGUGUACACAUGCGGGGAUUACCUUACAGAGCUACUGAGAAUGACAUUUAUAAUUUUUUUUCACCGCUCAACCCUGUGAGAGUACACAUUGAAAUUGGUCCUGAUGGCAGAGUAACUGGUGAAGCAGAUGUCGAGUUCGCAACUCAUGAAGAUGCUGUGGCAGCUAUGUCAAAAGACAAAGCAAAUAUGCGUAAGUGUGAUUGAGCAUUUGUGGGCUCUUAACAGGUGAUUGUGUGACUAACAUUUACAAUAGAGAAAUGGAAAAAUAAGGAUAUAUGAGAAGUUUCCUCUCCAGUAAUAGAUUAAUUCUUGGGGGAUGCGGGGGCAGUGUGUUGAAGGUUUGGGUUUUAAAAAUUAGUAUAACGGAUUUGUGAUAUGCACAUCUUGAAGUGUAUAUCCUUAAUUGACAAUACAGAUGAAUAUGUAAAGGCUAGAUUUUGGAGUUAAAGUAGAUCACCUAAGAGAAGUAGCUAGAAUUUCUUUGCCAAAGUAUUUGAAGUUCACAGAUCUGCUUGUUUAAAAACUUUAUAAAAGUGCUUAUUCUGUUUUGUUUCACCAACAAACAUUUUCAAACUUUUUUUUUCUCAUUUCAGAACACAGAUAUGUAGAACUCUUCUUGAAUUCUACAGCAGGAGCAAGCGGUGGUGCUUACGGUAGCCAAAUGCUAGGAGGCAUGGGUUUGUGUAAAUAUCACUUUAGUGUCUUUUUUUUAAGCUAACCUUGUAUGCCUUUUCUCUCAUUUCAGAACACAGAUAUGUAGAACUCUUCUUGAAUUCUACAGCAGGAGCAAGCGGUGGUGCUUAUGGUAGCCAAAUGAUGGGAGGCAUGGGCUUGUGUAAAUAUCGUUAGUUUUUUUAAAAACCAAAACGUUUAUAUCUGUAUAAGUCAAUUAUAAGUUAAGUUAAUCUAUUUAUUUAAUAAGUUUAGCAUAAGAAACUUAGGCAAAGCAGUUUCUUGAUAUUUGAGUUUUGUAUCUGGCUUACUUAAAUCCUUGUGAGUUAUGAAGUUCCUUAGGAUAGAUAAUUCAAAUUAGGUUUAAGUAGUCUUGGGGGAGGGGACUACGGAGUGAAACUACUUAAAUUUUCUAAGUAUAAAGUUUAAAUCAAUAGCAAAACAGGAUUAAGAUAAAUGUGGGCAUAAUUAGGUGUAUUGACAUGCCUUUGAUGUAUCAAACUGAGGGGGAACCCACUAAAUCCAGUCAAGCAGUUUCAUAAGAUCUUCACAAAAUGCCUCUACUUACGGAAUCAUGUUGAUUUUAGUCCUGCUGAUGUGUGUACCGUUAGCACUUUGGUUUAUCAAUAUUUGACUGGCUCAAAUGAUGGAUAGAAGGGUGGCCUGGUUAUAGACAGUAGGCAGAAGGAGGCAGAGGGUUACAGUAAUGUAAGAUCAAGACUGGAAAAUGAUAGCUAUAGAAUUACAAGCCCGGUACCACCAGGUACCACAUCACAUAAGAAAAAAGGUUCUAAUGUUUUCUUAACUUAACAGCAAACCAGUCCAGCUACGGGGGCCCAGCCAGCCAGCAGCUGAGUGGGGGUUACGGAGGCGGCUACGGUGGCCAGAGCAGCAUGAGUGGAUACGGUAAAGCCUGUUUGUUACUGUACUUAGAGUAAGUUAUGGUAAAGCCUGUUCAUUACUGUACUUAGAGUAAGUUAUGGUAAAGCCUGUUACUGUACUUAGAGUAAGUCGCAGGCAGGUGCCUUUAGUUGGGAAGAUGCAGGCUCCUUUCGGUGAAAUUGGGUUAUGAAAUGUAUGCUUUCAAUCCAAAUGUAACUGUUUUUACUAGCUAAUUUUCAGAAACAAUCAUUGGGAGGGGGAAGUGUUCUUUGAAUUAAGAACUAGUCAUUGCAGCUUUGGAAUACUGUCGAGCCAGAAAAUAUCUGCCUCCAUGUAUUAAAACAUUAAAUAAAGUUGUUCACUUUUUUGUCUUUUGGUUAGCAUUAAGUCAGUUUUAGACAGAGGGAGAAUUUGAAAUAGUAGAAUGGUGGUUGGGUUCAGGAUCGUAUUUAUUAGUCAGUUAACCUAGGAUUGGUUUUAUUUAUUUUUUUUCAAUUGGUCUAAAGAAUGGUGAUUUUGGUAUUAUAGUCUUACCCUACAAAAUCCUUUUGCAGACCAAGUUUUACAGGAAAACUCCAGUGAUUUUCAAUCAAACAUUGCAUAGGUAAAUAUUUUCUCAAAAAAUAUAAAUUCCCAAUAGCAAAUACUGAUAUGUUGUAAUAAUGCUUUCUAUAGCAGUCAAUGGCUCUGACUUAACUCCAUGGAGGCUGCCAUUUGGGCACAGUGAGUUGCCUUUAGUCCAGCUUGGUUGUCUCACUUCCUGCCCACCAUGAAUAGGAAAAGCAAGAGACUUCCCCUGUGCUCCCUUUUCUCAAAUGCCAUUCGAGGGACACAUUGUGAAUGUUUAUGUUAAAUUUUUUUUAAAAAUGCCUUGUUUAGCUUUAAAAAUACGAAGUAAUUUUGCAAUUUUUGAAAAACACUAGUUUUCCUUUAAACUUAAUUUUUCAUGUUGAUCCUGAAGAAUCCGUUAAAAUGGUAGCACAAGAGUCUGGCAAGUUGGUACUGCAGAGAAAAGGGGUUAAUUGAGGCUUGUUUGGAGUCGGGAUUCCCCUUUCCCAAACAUGCGUCUCGCCACUUGGACAGCAGCCAUUUGUACUCGUAUACUUUUUAAACUUUUUCUUGGAAUACUAUAUUUUAUUUGACUGGUAGUCUGAUAUUACUCCUAACUUGUCAAAUUGAUCUCUUUGCAGGUAACCAAGGAGCAGUGAACAGCAGCUACUACAGUAGUGGAAGCCGUGCAUCUAUGGGCGUGAACGGAAUGGGAGGGUUGUCUAGCAUGUCCAGUAUGAGUGGUGGAUGGGGAAUGUAAUUGAUCGAUCCUGAUCACUGACUCUUGGUCAACCUUUUUUUUUUUUUUUUUUUUUUCUUUAAGAAAACUUCAGUUUAACAGUUUCUGCAAUACAAGCUUGUGAUUUAUGCUUACUCUAAGUGGAAAUCAGGAUUGUUAUGAAGACUUAAGGCCCAGUAUUUUUGAAUACAAUACUCAUCUAGGAUGUAACAGUGAAGCUGAGUAAACUAUAACUGUUAAACUUAAGUUCCAGCUUUUCUCAAGUUAGUUAUAGGAUGUACUUAAGCAGUAAGCGUAUUUAGGUAAAAGCAGUUGAAUUAUGUUAAAUGUUGCCCUUUGCCACGUUAAAUUGAACACUGUUUUGGAUGCAUGUUGAAAGACAUGCUUUUAUUUUUUUGUAAAACAAUAUAGGAGCUGUGUCUACUAUUAAAAGUGAAACAUUUUGGCAUGUUUGUUAAUUCUAGUUUCAUUUAAUAACCUGUAAGGCACGUAAGUUUAAGCUUUUUUUUUUUUUAAGUUAAUGGGAAAAAUUUGAGACGCAAUACCAAUACUUAGGAUUUUGGUCUUGGUGUUUGUAUGAAAUUCUGAGGCCUUGAUUUAAAUCUUUCAUUGUAUUGUGAUUUCCUUUUAGGUAUAUUGCGCUAAGUGAAACUUGUCAAAUAAAUCCUCCUUUUAAAAACUG
rnacentral:lncRNA from 1 species